CUUUGGUAUGCUUGGACCUAGAGUCUUCAAACUUGACAUGAAGGUUGGCCAGGAUUAACAGAUGACCACUGGUCAUUUCAAGGUCAUUCAUUUGAAGGUCAAGGUCACUGUGACCUUCAAUAUAAAAAAUGUUAAAGUUGUUAUAACUUUGGUAUGCUUGGACCUAGAGUCUUGAAACUUGACAUGAAGGUUGGCCAUAACUAGUUAGUAACCACUGGUCAUUUCAAGGUCAUUCAUUUGAAGGUCAAGGUCACUGUGACCUUGAAUGUAAAAAUGUUAAAAUGUUAAAGUUCUUAUUUCAUGGUAUAACUUUGGUAUGCUUGGACCUAGAGUCUUCAAACUUGACAUGAAGGUUGGCCAGGAUUAACAGAUGACCACUGGUCAUUUCAAGGUCAUUCAUUUGAAGGUCAAGGUCACUGUGACCUUCAAUAUAAAAAAUGUUAAAGUUGUUAUAACUUUGGUAUGCUUUGACCUAGAGUCUUGAAACUUGACAUGAAGGUUGGCCAGAACUAGUAAGUAACCACUGGACAUUUCAAGGUCAUUCAUUUGAAGGUCAAGGUCACUGUGACCUUGAAUGUAAAAAUGUUAAAGUUGUUAUAACUUUGGUAUGCUUGGACCUAGAGUCUUGAAACUUGACAUGAAGGUUGGCCAGAACUAGUAAGUAACCACUGGACAUUUCAAGGUCAUUCAUUUGAAGGUCAAGGUCACUGUGACCUUGAAUGUAAAAAUGUUAAAGUUCUUAUUUCAUGUUAUAACUUUGGUAUGCUUGUACCUAGAGUCUUCAAACUUGAAAUAAAGAUUGGCCAGUACUAGAAGAUGACCACUGGUCAUUUCAAUGUCAUUCAUUUGAAGGUCAAGGUCACUGUGACCUUAAAUGUUAAAAUGUUAAAAUUGUUAUAACUUUGGUAUGCUUGGACAUAGAGUCUCAAACUUGACAUGAAGGUUUGCAAGCACACUUAGAUGACCACUGGUCAUUUCAAGGUCAUUCAUUCUAAGGUCAAGGUCACUGUGACCUUGAAUGUAAAAAUGUUAAAGUUCUUAUAACUUUGGUAGGUAAAAAUGUUAAAGUUCUUAUUCCAUGUUAUAACUUUGGUAUGCUUGUACCUAGAGUCUUCAAACUUGACAUAAAGGUUGGCCAGUACUAGAAGAUCACCACUGCUCAUUUCAAUGUCAUUCAUUUGAAGGUCAAGGUCACUGUGACCUUCAAUGUUAAAAUGUUAAACAUAGGUUUGCUCAUGCCUUGAAAAGUACUUACAUUUCAUUUUGACCUUUGAACAAUAUUUCAGUAAUUUAAGUAUUGCAUUGACAAAAACACGAAAGGUACUUUCCUGUCAUUUAAAUCAAAAAUCCGGCUUCAAUGCGGUCAUCUCCGACCGCGGAACUCUUGUUAGUUAAUUUAGAUUACUAAAAAUUAAUAUUAUAUUUAUGCCCCCCUUGGAAGAAGAGGGGUAUAUUGUUUUGCACAUGUCAGUUGGUUGGUCCGUCCGUCCACCAGAUGGUUUCCUGAUGAUAACUCAAGAACGCUUUGGCCUAGGAUCAUGAAACUUCAUAGGUUUAUUGAUCUCGAAAUAGUAAAAUGGUUUCCGGAUGAUAACUCUAGAACGCUUACGCCUAGGAUCAUGAAACUUCAUAGGUACAUUGAUGAUGACUCGCAGAUGACCUCUAUUGAUUUUCAGGUCACUAAGUCAAAGGUCAAGGUCACAGUGACUCGAAAUAGAAAAAUGGUUUCCGGAUGAUAACUCAUAAAUGCUUACGCCUAGGAUCAUAAAAUAAAAAAAUCAUAGGUAUAUUGAUCAUGACUGGCGAAUGGUCCCUAUUGAUUUUCAGGUCACUUGGUCAAAGGUCAAGGUCACAGUGAAUCAAAAUACUAAAAUGGUUUCUGGAAGAUAACUCAACAAUGCUCACGCCUAAGAUCAUGAACUUCAUAGGAACAUUGAUCAUAACUGGCAGAUGACCUCUAUUGAUUUUCAGGUCACUAGGUCAAAGGUCAAAGUCACAGUGACUCAAAAUAGUAAAAUGGUUUCCUGAUGAUAACUCAAGAAUGCUUAGGCCUAGCAUCAUGAAACUUCAUGGGUACAUUGAUCAUUACUGGCAGAUGACCCCUAUUGAUUCUCAGGUCACUAGGUCAAAGGUCACAGUGACUCAAAACAGUAAAAUGAUUUAUGGAUGAUAACUCAAGAAUGCUUACGCCUAGGAUCAUGAAACUUUAUAGGAACAUUGAUCAUGACUGGGAGAUGACUCCUAUUGAUUUUCCGGUCACUAGGUCAAAGGUCAAUGUCACAGUUACUCGAAACAGUAAAAUGGUUUCAUGAUGAUAACUCAAGAAUGAUUACGCCUAGGACCAUGAAACUUCAUAGGUACAUUGAUAAUGACUGGCAGAUGACCCCCUUCAUAGGUACAUUGAUAAUGACUGGUAGAAGACCCCUAUUGAUUUUCAGGUCACUAGGUCAAAGAUUAAGGUCAUAGUGACUCAAAACAGUUUAAUGGUUUCCUGUUGAUAGCUCAAGAAUACUUAGGUCUAUGAUCAUGAAACUUCUCAAGUACAUUGAUCAUGACUGGCAGAUGACCCCUAUUGAUUUUCAGGUCACUAGGUCAAAAGUCAAGUUCACAGUGACAAAAACGUUUUCACAAUGGCUGCCACUACAACUGACAGCCCAUAUGGGGGGCAUGCAUGUUUUACAAACAGCCCUUGUUCUGUGUUAAAAUUAUGUACACGUCUGCGUUAAAUAAAUAUGUUCACAUUUGAAAUAAAGCUAAAAAUGUG